rnacentral:lncRNA from 1 species
UGUAGAAGUAUGACUUGUCAGGUCUUCUUCUAAUUGGAUAUCAACUGGGGUUGGUCUUUUAUAAUAUGGUCGAGCAUUUAUGGGUUGCCAGUGUUUACUAUAAUUGAUACGAUUUAUACUAUCAGGAGUAAGUUGUAUUUCAGAAAAUGCUUCCUGCAUAUUUUGUAUUGUAUUGGCAAUGGGUGGUUCUACGAUUUCAUUGGUUUGAAGGAGUAUCUCUUCUUGUAGAGUCAUGUUAUCGUGUUCAGGGAUUUUUGCUUUUCCUUUUUCAUUAUCAGGGAGAACUGGGAGAACUAUUGUAGGUUUGGGAUCU